AUACGGGAGGCAGCAGUGGGGAAUAUUGGACAAUGGGCGCAAGCCUGAUCCAGCCAUGCCGCGUGAGUGAUGAAGGCCCUAGGGUUGUAAAGCUCUUUUGUGCGGGAAGAUAAUGACGGUACCGCAAGAAUAAGCCCCGGCUAACUUCGUGCCAGCAGCCGCGGUAAUACGAAGGGGGCUAGCGUUGCUCGGAAUCACUGGGCGUAAAGGGUGCGUAGGCGGGUCUUUAAGUCAGGGGUGAAAUCCUGGAGCUCAACUCCAGAACUGCCUUUGAUACUGAGGAUCUUGAGUUCGGGAGAGGUGAGUGGAACUGCGAGUGUAGAGGUGAAAUUCGUAGAUAUUCGCAAGAACACCAGUGGCGAAGGCGGCUCACUGGCCCGAUACUGACGCUGAGGCACGAAAGCGUGGGGAGCAAACAGGAUUAGAUACCCCGGU
rnacentral:rRNA from 1 species